rnacentral:lncRNA from 1 species
ACUCUCACCCGGAACCUUUCAUCUCUUAUUGAAGCCUUUUAGGCCCAUUGGGAUGUUCAUUAGAACUCUGAAAACUACAGUUCUCCCCUUUAUGAGGACUGCACCACAGCUCGCCCUCUCCUGGGUUCCGCCUGGUUGCAGAGUGAGCCCAUGGGACAGCCCUCUGAAAUUAUACUGCUUACAACCAUGCUGAGUCUGCAAGGACUUCGUCCAAGCCUUUCCGUCCAGGACCUCAAACAGAUCCAAUCACAAGAAGAGAGAUUUCAGGAAAGAGAAAAUUAUUCCUAUCAUCGGGGUUUUUGAAGAACAUGAAAUGACUGGGAAAAUAAUCAUGUUAAGUGGAAAAAAAAAAGAAAUCUAUCUGUUGUAAUUUUCAAAUAAUUUUUAAAUAAAUUUGAAAAAUUAAGAGAA